rnacentral:rRNA from 1 species
GGUUAAGCGACUAAGCGUACACGGUGGAUGCCCUGGCAGUCAGAGGCGAUGAAGGGCGUGCUAAUCUGCGAUAAGCGCCGGUAAGGUGAUAUGAACCGUUAUAACCGGCGAUACCCGAAUGGGGAAACCCAGUGUGACUCGUCACACUAUCAUUAACUGAAUCCAUAGGUUAAUGAGGCGAACCGGGGGAACUGAAACAUCUAAGUACCCCGAGGAAAAGAAAUCAACCGAGAUUCCCCCAGUAGCGGCGAGCGAACGGGGAGGAGCCCAGAGCCUGAAUCAGCAUGUGUGUUAGUGGAAGCGUCUGGAAAGGCGCGCGAUACAGGGUGACAGCCCCGUACACAAAAGCGCAUGUGCUGUGAGCUCGAUGAGUAGGGCGGGACACGUGGUAUCCUGUCUGAAUAUGGGGGGACCAUCCUCCAAGGCUAAAUACUCCUGACUGACCGAUAGUGAACCAGUACCGUGAGGGAAAGGCGAAAAGAACCCCGGCGAGGGGAGUGAAAAAGAACCUGAAACCGUGUACGUACAAGCAGUGGGAGCCCCACCACUAAGCCAGUGGUGAACUCCACAUACGCAUCCUUUGCUGAGGAUACGGUUAACGGAGCGCAAGCGACGUUCAACCGCAAAAGAAGCAGAGGGGGCUUAGUGGUGGGGUGACUGCGUACCUUUUGUAUAAUGGGUCAGCGACUUAUAUUCUGUAGCAAGGUUAACCGUAU